rnacentral:rRNA from 1 species
CCCUUAGAUGUUCUGGGCCGCACGCGCGCUACACUGAUGCAUUCAACAAGCCUAGCCUUAACCGAGAGGUCCGGGUAAUCUUUGAAACUGCAUCGUGAUGGGGCUAGAUUAUUGCAAUUAUUAAUCUUCAACGAGGAAUGCCUAGUAAGCGUGAUUCAUCAAAUCGCGUUGAUUACGUCCCUGCCCUUUGUACACACCGCCCGUCGCUCCUACCGAUUGAAUGUGUUGGUGAGGAGCUCGGAUUGGCAGCAGUUGGUGGUUCGCCACCGGCUAUUGCUGAGAAGUCCUCCAAACCGCCCCAUUUAGAGGAAGGAGAAGUCGUAACA